rnacentral:piRNA from 1 species
UUUGCAAAAUAUUUCCCUUCA